UAGGGAAUCUUCGGCAAUGGACGAAAGUCUGACCGAGCAACGCCGCGUGAGUGAAGAAGGUUUUCGGAUCGUAAAACUCUGUUGUUAGAGAAGAACAAGGACGUUAGUAACUGAACGUCCCCUGACGGUAUCUAACCAGAAAGCCACGGCUAACUACGUGCCAGCAGCCGCGGUAAUACGUAGGUGGCAAGCGUUGUUCGGAUUUAUUGGGCGUAAAGCGAGCGCAGGCGGUUUCUUAAGUCUGAUGUGAAAGCCCCCGGCUCAACCGGGGAGGGUCAUUGGAAACUGGGAGACUUGAGUGCAGAAGAGGAGAGUGGAAUUCCAUGUGUAGCGGUGGAAUGCGUAGAUAUAUGGAGGAACACCAGUGGCGAAGGCGGCUCUCUGGUCUGUAACUGACGCUGAGGGUCGAAAGCGUGGGGAGCAAACAGG
rnacentral:rRNA from 1 species